rnacentral:rRNA from 1 species
GAACGCUGGCGGCGUGCCUAAUACAUGCAAGUCGAACGAAGAACCUCGGUAGUAAUACUUUGGUUCUUAGUGGCGAACGGGUGAGUAACGCGUUGGUGACCUACCCCAAAGUGGGGGAUAACAGAUCGAAAGGUCUGCUAAUACCUCAUGUUGUCAUCGUUUUUAGAAAGCGAUGAUCAAAGGAGCAAUCCGCUUUGGGAGGGGCCUGCGUCCCAUCAGCUAGUUGGUAGGGUAAUGGCCUACCAAGGCGUCGACGGGUAAGGGACCUGAGAGGGUGGCCCCUCACAAUGGAACUGAAACACGGUCCAUACACCUACGGGUGGCAGCAGUAGGGAAUAUUGCACAAUGGGCGAAAGCCUGAUGCAGCAACGCCGCGUGUAUGAUGAAGGCCUUCGGGUCGUAAAAUACU